GAGUUUGAUCGUGGCUCAGGAUGAACGCUGGCGGCGUGCCUAACACAUGCAAGUCGAGCGGUAUAUAUUGGAUUGAAACUUCGGUUGAAUGAAGAUAUAGAGAGCGGCGGACGGGUGAGUAACGCGUAGGCAACCUGCCCCAUACAGAGGGAUAGCCUCGGGAAACCGGGAUUUAAAACCUCAUAACGCGAGAGUAUCACAUGGUGCUUUCGCCAAAAGAUUUAUCGGUAUGGGAUGGGCCUGCGUCUGAUUAGCUAGUUGGUGGGGUAACGGCCUACCAAGGCAACGAUCAGUAGCCGACCUGAGAGGGUAAAUCGGCCACAUUGGAACUGAGACACGGUCAAACUCCUACGGGAGGCAGCAGUGGGGAAUAUUGCACAAUGGGCGAAAGCCUGAUGCAGCAACGCCGCGUGAGCGAUGAAGGCCUUUGGGUCGUAAAGCUCUGUCCUUGGGGAAGAAAAAAAUGAGGUACCCUUGGAGGAAGCCCGGCUAACUACGUGCCAGCCGCCGCCGUAAC
rnacentral:rRNA from 1 species